CAUUCCUGCUUUUCUGAACACCAUUAAUGUAUUUUCCAUUUGCCUUAGCCUAUGUCCUAGGAAAACGUCCUAAGAGAAGGCAAUAACCAAGGAACAGGAGUCUUCUAAGAAAUAGCUCUCCUCCACGUCAUCGAUGGGCAGUGGAGGUACCAGAGCUUCAUUUGAGAGCAUCUUAGGGGAAGCAGGGUCACCAAAGAAGCCAGAGUGGAGGCUGCAGGGAGUGUGGGUUUGAAUGAACUUCGGCUGCUACAUCAAGAAGGCUGAUUACUGAGGAACCAUCAAAAGCUUCACCCGAGUGACUCAUCACCCAGAUCCAACAGAGAGCACAUCAGUCACUUUCCUGCCUCCCUGCUCUCCCGUUGGCAUGCACGCUCUCUCCUUGGCGCCCCCCUCCCACACACCAGUUUGAUGAAAUCUCUAUAUCCUCCUCCAAGUAUCAGCACAUGACAAGCCUCCUGAGUUUUCUGUGAGCAUCCUAUCCCGGGACAGAGGUUUUCUGGAAGUGGCCUGCUGUACCACAUGCAGCAAGUGGACAGGUAUAGUCUUUCUGGAAGAGGAGCCCAGGUAUCUGCCUGCUGAUUUUCCUCAGGAAACCAAGAAACCUCAGUCAUCAUUGGAGACCCCAAACAUAGGACUGGACAUGUGACUCAUGUGAACACAUCAGUGUAUGUUGCAUUCUCAUCCUCUAAGACUGAGCAAGUAACCCAGGGCAGGAUUUUGAAAACAGUAGAGAAAAUUAGAGCAGAGAAAUGGAAGGAGAAGGAGAAAAUGGGGGAGAAAGGAAGAGAGAGA